rnacentral:lncRNA from 1 species
UAACUAAGAACGGCUGUAACAGAUUUACCAUUAUAAACGCCUGACAAAGUAUUCGAUAAUCUGCCCGAGCAGUCCCCCACCUCGCUAGCGAGAGGCUCGCCGGCCUUCGAAGCCCACUUGGCGAGCCCCUGUUCCGUAGACUGACCGCGCACAUUUCGGGGACAGAGGACCUCAAAGGGACUGCUAUGAGCCUCCUCCCUCCCAGAAAAAGAAGAGACGAAUCCUGUUCAGCGUCACCCCAGAAUCACCAUCUAACCUACCACGGGUGAACUCGAUCACAGGAAGAGGAAUAGCAGAAUUAGUUUGAGCCUUCUCACUUGAUCAGGUUCUUUAGAACUCAGAACUCGAGGCUCAGGACCGUCUCUGGUCACGGCAACCUCUAACGAGGAACAGUAGAGGAAGCAUCAACUAUGGACAGCUUCGCUGAGGUGGGCUAGCCUCCUUCACCGCAGAGAAGUACUUC